GGACUACAGGGGUUUCUAAUCCUGUUUGAUCCCCACGCUUUCGAGCCUCAGCGUCAAUCAUAGCUUAGUAAGCUGCCUUCGCAAUCGGUGUUCUGUGACAUAUCUAUGCAUUUCACCGCUACUUGUCACAUUCCGCCUACCUCAACUAUAUUCAAGCCCAUCAGUAUCAAAGGCACUGCGAUGGUUGAGCCACCGUCUUUCACCCCUGACUUAAUAGGCCGCCUACGCUCCCUUUAAACCCAAUAAAUCCGGAUAACGCUUGGAUCCUCCGUAUUACCGCGGCUGCUGGCAC
rnacentral:misc_RNA from 1 species